ACCAGGUACAGGCUACUUUCAGCUCUAAACCCUUCACCUCUGGGCCUUUGUGUGCCAAGGUCAGGAGACACAGCCAUGUGUGUGGCAGGUGUGUCUGUAAAGCUGCAAGCUGCUCUGCCCACCUGCUCUCCUCCCAGCAGCACAACCCAACCAGGGGUGGGCUCUGAGGCCUUCACCUCAGGAUCCUCCUGCAUGGAUCUCAGACAGGUGGAGUUAGGGGAGCCCAGCAGUGAAAGAGCAGCCCCUGCCCAUCAGGAUCCACAGGUGCUUCUGUGAUGACCCAGGCUCCUCCCUCCUGCCUUCACCAUCUACCUCCUGCAGGUCCACCCAGAACCUUCUACAGACAGAGGGAUACAAUGAUUCUUGCAGAAGGCAGGAAAGUCUGUGUGGUUUCUAAACCUUUGGGCUUUCAUUUGUCUCUGGGUCUCAGGCAACUUCAGUGGCAGAGGAUCAGGGACAGAUUUCAUAUUACAACUCAGGACAGUG